UACGGGGGGGGCGAGCGUUGUUCGGAAUCACUGGGCGUAAAGGGCGCGUAGGCGGCCCGCACAAGUCUGCGGUGAAAACCCCCGGCUUAACCGGGGGCCGGCCGUGGAAACUGUCGGGCUGGAGGACGAGAGAGGGCGGCGGAAUUCCCGGUGUAGCGGUGAAAUGCGUAGAGAUCGGGAGGAACACCGGCGGCGAAGGCGGCCGCCUGGACCGGCCCUGACGCUGAGGCGCGAAAGCUAGGGGAGCAAACAGG
rnacentral:rRNA from 1 species